rnacentral:rRNA from 1 species
GAUGAACGCUGGCGGCGUGCCUAAUACAUGCAAGUAGAACGCUGAAGGAAGGAGCUUGCUCUUUCCGGAUGAGUUGCGAACGGGUGAGUAACGCGUAGGUAACCUGCCUGGUAGCGGGGGAUAACUAUUGGAAACGAUAGCUAAUACCGCAUAACAGUAGAUGUUGCAUGACAACUAUUUGAAAGGGGCAAUUGCUCCACUACCAGAUGGACCUGCGUUGUAUUAGCUAGUUGGUGAGGUAACGGCUCACCAAGGCGACGAUACAUAGCCGACCUGAGAGGGUGAUCGGCCACACUGGGACUGAGACACGGCCCAGACUCCUACGGGAGGCAGCAGUAGGGAAUCUUCGGCAAUAGACGGAAGUCUGACCGAGCAACGCCGCGUGAGUGAAGAAGGUUUUCGGAUCGUAAAGCUCUGUUGUAAGAGAAGAACGAGUGUGAGAGUGGAAAGUUCACACUGUGACGGUAUCUUACCAGAAAGGGACGGCUAACUACGUG